rnacentral:rRNA from 1 species
UACAGGGGGUGCAAACGUUGCUCGGAAUCAUUGGGCGUAAAGCGCACGUAGGCGGUUCGUUAUGUCGGAUGUGAAAGCCCUUGGCUUAACCGAGGAAGUGCAUCCGAAACUGGCGAGCUAGAGUACGAAAGAGGAUCGCGGAAUUCCCGGUGUAGAGGUGAAAUUCGUAGAUAUCGGGAGGAACACCGGUGGCGAAGGCGGCGAUCUGGGUCGAUACUGACGCUGAGGUGCGAAAGCGCGGGGAGCAAACAGG